AUGAUCUCAGUGAAUUGCUCAGAAAAUUCCUCAGGUCCUGGGAAGGCUUGUUUGAAAGCCUCAUUUCCAAGCUCUCGAUGCUGGAUUCCUUGCCGUCUUUUCUGACAAGGCUGAAUCAAGAACAACAUCCACACACGUUCUUGUUCCCACCGAACACGUCCCAGGCAGGCCCUGAACCCUGGAUCCUGUCACCUGGGCAUUAAGAUGAUGAAUGUGCGCUAGCUGGUGCUCGAAGGGUGACAGUUUGGUGACUGAAGCCAGCCAAGGAAACCUAUGGAACCUCCUAAAUGGAAAGCACACCAGGAUGUCUCUGCCUUUGCUCUUCUGACUGUGUUCAACUCUCCAGCCAGAAGUCCACGAGAAUCUUUUCAGCAAGAGUCACCAGAGCAAGAAUGUCUUAGAGUCACCAGAACCAAUGAGUCCCUUCAGCAAGAGUCACCAAUGCCAAUUUCCAAAUCCAAAUACGAAUGUGAAUCAGGAUGGGAAUCUGAGUGUCCUUUCAGCAAGAACCAUCAGCACCAGAGCCAGAUAGAGAAUCCAAAUGCUCAUCAGAGCAUCUCUUCAGCAAGAUCCACCAGUGCCAGAGCAAGGGAG
rnacentral:lncRNA from 1 species